AUGGACAGCAAGCCGGCGACGCGGGUGUCCCGCCGGCCGCCGCCGCAGCCACCGGCAGCCACGAGGAGCGCCGUGUGGCUCGUCGGCCUGCUCGUGACGCUCUGCUUCUUCUCCCUGCCGCUCUUCCUCGCGCUCUCCCCCAACCUCUCCGACGUGUGGCAUCUGGGCCUCAGCGUCACCGCGCGCCACGAGAACGCGACGGCUCAGUCAGAGUCUUCGGACUCGGCGCCGGCGAGCCGGGACAGGCUGCUCGGCGGCCUCCUGUCGCCGGACGUCAGCGAGGGGUCCUGCCUGAGCCGGUACGCGUCGUCCCUCCACCGCAGCAGGGCGUCGCCGCACUCGCCGUCGCCGUACCUGGCUUCCCGGCUGCGCAAGUACGAGGCGCUCCACCGCAAGUGCGGCCCGGGCACGCUCUCCUACAAGAAGUCGCUGAUGCAGCUCCCGUCCCCGCACAGCAUGGGCCUGGUGGAGUGCCGCUACCUCGUGUGGGCGCCCACCUCCGGCCACAUCGGCGACCGCGUGCUCUCCAUCGCGUCCGCCUUCCUCUACGCGCUGCUCACCCGCCGCGUCCUCCUCCUGCAGCUCGCCGACGACAUGGCCGGCCUCUUCUGCGAGCCCUUCCCGGGCGCCACGUGGGAGCUCCCCGCCGGGGGCUUCCUCGCCGACCGCAUCAAGGGGCUCCGCCGCGGCAGCGACCGCAGCUACGGGAACUUCAUCCGGGCCGCCAAGAACAACAAGGACGACGACCUGCGGGCGGAGUCGCUGCCGCCGUACGCGUACGUCCACCUGGAGCACGACUACCAGCAGCCGGAGCAGCUCUUCUUCUGCGACGAGGACCAGACCGUCCUCGGCAAUAUCAACUGGGUGAUCCUGCGCUCCAACCUCUACUUCGCCCCGGGGCUGUUCCUGGUGCCGCAGUUCGAGGAGGAGCUCCGGUGGAUGUUCCCGGCGAGCGACACGGCGUUCCACCACGUCGGGAGGUACCUCUUCCACCCGUCCAACGAGGUGUGGGAGCUCAUCACGAGCUACUACACGCCGUACAUGGCCAGCUUCCAAGAAAAGAUCGGUCUGCAGAUCGCCACCUUCGCCUGGAACCCCGUGCCGUUCGAGGAGUACUUCAAGCAGGUCUCGGCAUGCACGAGCCAGGAGAAGAUCCUGCCGGAGGUGGACACGACCCCGGGCGUCCUCCAUGAGGCUGCGGCGGGGGCGACGUCCAAGGCGGUGCUCGUCAGCUCGGAGCACCCGGAGUACGCCGAGAAGCUCAAGUCCAUGUACCACGAGCACGCGACCGUGACCGGCGAGACCGUCAGCGUGCUGCAGCCCGUCGACGUCGGCGGCGGGAACCACUCGCACAACCAGAAGGCGGUGGUGGAGAUGUUCCUGCAGAGCUACUGCGACGUGUCGGUGGUGAGCGGCUGGUCCACCGUGGGAUACGUCGGGCACGGCCUCGCCGGGGUGAAGCCGUGGCUGCUGCUGGCGCCGAGGAACCAGACGGCGGCCGACCCGCCCUGCGUCCAGGCGACGUCCAUGGAGCCGUGCUUCCACGCGGCGCCGAGCUACGACUGCAGGGCCAAGAAGAAGGGGGACCUCGGCGCCGUUCUCCGGCACGUCAGGCAUUGCGAAGAUGUCGGCGAUGGCCUCAAACUAUUUGACUGA
rnacentral:rRNA from 1 species